GGCUCGGUGGUCUAGUGGUAUGAUUCUCUCUUAGGGUGGGAGAGGUCCCGGGUUCAAUUCCCGGCCGAGCCC